GGAAACAUAAAUACGCUAUACUCCUGGACUGUUUUCAAGAAAUCCUAACGAUAGCGACAAUGGAUUGUCAGGGCGCAAUACAGAAAGUCACUGUUGAUCUAGAACAGACCCCACAAGAGUAUCAUUUGCUGACCUGGUGAUGAAUGAUUGAUCUGUUACUCGUAUAUGUUGUGUUGACGAGUUUGAAUAAAUAUUUGAAACGCU